UACGUAGGGUGCAAGCGUUGUCCGGAAUUAUUGGGCGUAAAGAGCUCGUAGGCGGUCUGUCGCGUCGGAUGUGGAAAAUCCAGGGCUCAACCCUGGACCUGCAUUCGAUACGGGCAGACUAGAGUUCGGCAGGGGAGACUGGAAUUCCUGGUGUAGCGGUGAAAUGCGCAGAUAUCAGGAGGAACACCGGUGGCGAAGGCGGGUCUCUGGGCCGAUACUGACGCUGAGGAGCGAAAGCGUGGGGAGCAAACAGG
rnacentral:rRNA from 1 species